rfam:Ixodes scapularis strain Wikel colony gcontig_1108378706932, whole genome shotgun sequence.
CCCUGGUAAGCUCAGUUGGUAGAGCACUCCACUGGAAAUGGGCAUGUCCCGGGUUCAAUACCCGGACAAGGCG